rnacentral:rRNA from 1 species
UGGGGAAUUUUGGACAAUGGGGGAAACCCUGAUCCAGCCAUCCCGCGUGUGCGAUGAAGGCCUUCGGGUUGUAAAGCACUUUUGGCAGGAAAGAAACGUCAUGGGUUAAUACCCCGUGAAACUGACGGUACCUGCAGAAUAAGCACCGGCUAACUACGUGCCAGCAGCCGCGGUAAUACGUAGGGUGCAAGCGUUAAUCGGAAUUACUGGGCGUAAAGCGUGCGCAGGCGGUUCGGAAAGAAAGAUGUGAAAUCCCAGAGCUCAACGUUGGAACUGCAUUUUUAACUACCGGGAUAGAGUGUGUCAGAGGGAGGUGGAAUUCCGCGUGUAGCAGUGAAAUGCGUAGAUAUGCGGAGGAACACCGAUGGCGAAGGCAGCCUCCUGGGAUAACACUGACGCUCAUGCACGAAAGCGUGGGGAGCAAACAGG